rnacentral:rRNA from 1 species
GACGCACGCUGGCGGCGUGCUUAACACAUGCAAGUCGAGCGGAGCGGCGAACGGGUGAGUAACGCGUGAGUAACUGCCCCCCUCUCUGGGAUAACAGUUGGAAACGGCUGCUAAUACUGGAUAGUGGGGGAUGACUCGCGUCCUAUCAGCUUUUUGGUGGGGUAGUGGCCUACCAAGGCGACGACGGGUAGCCGGCCUGAGAAGGCGACCGGCCAAAUAGGGCGGAGAUACGGCCUAAAGUCCUACGGGAGGCAGCGGUAGGGGAUAUUGCACAAUGGGCGAAACCCGGAUGCAGCAACGCGCGUGCGGGAUGACGGCCUUCGGGUUGUAAACCGCUUUCAGCCAUGACGCGGUAGUGGCAGAAGAAGCACCGGCUAACUACGUGCCAGCAGCCGCGGUAAUUC